rnacentral:rRNA from 1 species
CUACGGGUUGCUGCAGUAAGGAAUAUUGGGCAAUGGGCGCAAGCCUGACCCAGCCAUGCCGCGUGCAGGAAGACGGCCUUAUGGGUUGUAAACUGCUUUUGUUAGGGAAUAAACCCCCGUACGUGUACGGGGCUGAAUGUACCUAAAGAAUAAGCAUCGGCUAACUCCGUGCCAGCAGCCGCGGUAAUACGGAGGAUGCAAGCGUUAUCCGGAUUCAUUGGGUUUAAAGGGUGCGCAGGCGGACUGAUAAGUCAGUGGUGAAAUCCUACGGCUCAACCGUAGAACUGCCAUUGAUACUGUCAGUCUUGAGUCUAGUUGAAGUGGGCGGAAUGUAGCAUGUAGCGGUGAUAUGCAUAGAUAUGCUACAGAACACCUAUUGCGAAGGCAGCUCACUAAACUAUAACUGACGCUCAUGCACGAAAGCGUGGGGAGCAAACAGGAUUAGAUACCCCGGUAGUC